UUUGCUGAUCGUGGCUGUCCUAUAAUCAGCUUUCCGUUGUCUAGAUUUAAUUAUUACUUGUGGAAAAGACAUCGCUGGCACCUGCCACUUUUACUGCUGACACUGAAAUAGGAAAUGGUUUUACUACAAAUAACCACCUCCAGCUCCGUCCAGUUCCAACCAAGCCCAGAAUCGGUGUGAUAAAUCCGAAACGAAGCAAUCAGCAUGACCUUUAGCAGGCUGCCGUGAUAAAGCCCGAAAAAGCUGUGUUCUGCAGAUAAUUCACGAUUAAUGCAGCAGAACUUGGUGCAAACAGUGCUCAUAAACGCCCCGACUGGAGUGUGGAACAGCGAGCUGCAGAGCCUUACUUAAAAACCAUCAUAAAACCGGAGCUGAUGCAGCAAACCCUUUAAACGAGCGGAGCUUUCGUGCCCUCGCUGCGACGCUUGGCGCUCAGCGAGCCUGCCCGGCGCUGGCCCCGGCACGAGUGGCACAGCUUGACUUACAUUUCGCAGGAGGAGACCUGCCAGGAGGGGUUGUGCUUUCCUCCACCUUGGAUGCAGCAGGGUCAAUUUGAAUUUGACUGACUGAAUUUGAUCCUUUGGGACUUGAGUCCAUCUCAGAUGUGGAUUUAGGACUCAAAAUUCCCCACAUGGAUGGGGCAGCUCAUGCAGACAUGGGUCUGUGAGCUGUAACCAUGCCCUGCUGAGCUUGCACAUCAUCAAGAGAGGAUUUUUCCCAUGCGUGGCUACACACCUGAGGUUAAAAGUCCCAACAC